UCGGAGUGCUUGCACUCUGUGAAACAAGACACAGGCUAGCGGCGGACGGGUGAGUAACACGUGGGUAACCUGCCCAAGAGAUCGGGAUAACACCUGGAAACAGAUGCUAAUACCGGAUAACAACAGAUGAUGCCUAUCAACUGUUUAAAAGAUGGUUCUGCUAUCACUCUUGGAUGGACCUGCGGUGCAUUAGCUAGUUGGUAGGGUAACGGCCUACCAAGGCGAUGAUGCAUAGCCGAGUUGAGAGACUGAUCGGCCACAUUGGGACUGAGACACGGCCCAAACUCCUACGGGAGGCAGCAGUAGGGAAUCUUCCACAAUGGACGCAAGUCUGAUGGAGCAACGCCGCGUGAGUGAAGAAGGGUUUCGGCUCGUAAAGCUCUGUUGUUGGUGAAGAAGGACGGGGGUAGUAACUGACCUUUGUUUGACGGUAAUCAAUUAGAAAGUCACGGCUAACUACGUGCCAGCAGCCGCGGUAAUACGUAGGUGGCAAGCGUUGUCCGGAUUUAUUGGGCGUAAAGCGAGUGCAGGCGGUUCGAUAAGUCUGAUGUGAAAGCCUUCGGCUCAACCGGAGAAUUGCAUCAGAAACUGUCGAGCUUGAGUACAGAAGAGGAGAGUGGAACUCCAUGUGUAGCGGUGAAAUGCGUAGAUAUAUGGAAGAACACCGGUGGCGAAGGCGGCUCUCUGGUCUGUUACUGA
rnacentral:rRNA from 1 species